rnacentral:snoRNA from 1 species
AGGUAGGGACAAAGAGGGCUCAGGAUGUAAAACCAAGGGCUCUUAACUCAAUGACCAGAGAUCAAAGUUCUCCACAGGAUGCUGAAGUCACUUAACAGUUCUGUGUUUUCAUGAAGAGAUAUAAAA